UCACUGUGAUGACUGUUUCCAACCAUUCGCAGUUUCCCCCAGAAAGGAUGAGUCCACGUGUUGGUUUGACCUUCCUUGGAUGUCUGAGUGA